UACGUAGGUGGCUAGCGUUGUCCGGAUUUACUGGGCGUAAAGAGCGCGCAGGCGGUCGUUCAAGUCGAGUGUGAAAGCCCCCGGCUCAACUGGGGAGGGUCACUCGAUACUGAUCGACUUGAAGGCGGGAGAGGGAAGCGGAAUUCCCGGUGUAGUGGUGAAAUGCGUAGAUAUCGAGAGGAACACCUGCGGCGAAGGCGGGUUGCUGGGCUGAUACUGACGCUGAGGCGCGAAAGCGUGGGGAGCAAACAGG
rnacentral:rRNA from 1 species